GAUGAACGCUGGCGGCGUGCCUAAUACAUGCAAGUCGAACGAAACUUCUUUAUCACCGAGUGCUUGCACUCACCGAUAAAGAGCUGAGUGGCGAACGGGUGAGUAACACGUGGGCAACCUGCCCAAAAGAGGGGGAUAACACUUGGAAACAGGUGCUAAUACCGCAUAACCAUAGUUACCGCAUGGUAACUAUGUAAAAGGUGGCUAUACUACCGCUUUUGGAUGGGCCCGCGGCGCAUUAGCUAGUUGGUAGGGUAAAGGCUUACCAAGGCAAUGAUGCGUAGCCGAAUUGAGAGGUUGAUCGGCCACAUUGGGACUGAGACACGGCCCAAACUCCUACGGGGGGCAGCAGUAGGGAAUCUUCCACAAUGGGCGAAAGCCUGAUGGAGCAACGCCGCGUGGGUGAAGAAGGUCUUCGGAUCGUAAAACCCUGUUGUUAGAGAAGAAAGUGCGUGAGAGUAACUGUUCACGUUUCGACGGUAUCUAACCGGAAAGCCACGGCUAACUACGUG
rnacentral:rRNA from 1 species